GCCACCAAGUACUGGUGUUUGCUUCACGGAUUUGCCCAUUUCACCUUCACGCUUGGGUAUGUUUCGGUGCGUCCCCACCGUCUGUCCGGGGAUGUGAACACCCAGAGGGCCCAAACCACGUCUGUUUAAGUCCCUCUGGGUCCUGGGUGGAGUAGAUCCUGGCUUAACAAGAACCUUGAACAGGGAGGGAGGUGAUGUUACUGCUCCCUCACCUGGAGCAGGCUUCUCUGUUUCAACUCCAUAAACUGUGAAGGCGACAAAGCCCUUUCUGUAUUUUGCGAGAGAUACAGUUUGCAAAUGAUCUCAUUACCCCCGCAGCCAUGAGCAGAGUUAUGUCGGGCCUUUCUAACAAGUGGCAGUAAAACAUUUUAUAGGCCCCUCUGCCCCCCUCCUUCCCCCACCGUGUAAUUUGCUCUGUUUGGGGUUGAACUUGGUGUUUUCCCUCUUUCCCUUCUCUUUCUCCUUGCACUUUCUCUCAUGUUAAUUAUAUUAGUUGCCAUGGAAACAGUGAUGUCAUUGGCACGGGAGCGCUCAAUGACAUCCAAAAGCACAGUUUAUAGCAUGGCUUGAAAUUUAUUCCAUGGCUCGCAGCCUUGAGGGGGGUUAUAUGGCGAUUAUAUCGCGGGCACCAUCUGGGCGCGAGGGUGGGAAGGGGUGGAGAGUAGCUGGGCUGUGGGGUGCUUCCCACAGCCCCAGAUAUUGGGGGGCCGUUCCAUUUGGACACCGUGGAGGACACCUUGGGUACCGUGAAGAACUGUCUCUUCUUGGCUUUUGCCAACACUCGCUACCUCACAGCACCCCGCCCCACGUUUGUCCCCAUUUUAGGAUUUCAGAACCCUGCAUGGGGCGGUCUCAAAAGUGCUUAACACAAGGGCGGGGUGUGUGUGUGUGUGUGUGUGUGUGUGUGUGUGUGUGUGUGCGCGCGCGCGCGCGCGCGCGCACCCGCUCGCACAUGUGCUUGAAGCAUCAAACCAUGCUGUUAGUAUGAAACUGUGAUCCGCAGCGUGCAGCGCACGUUACUUCACACACACGGCUCGCAUACACAUGCACACACUUAUUUGCCCAUCUGUACUUCAUUCUAGAAGGUGCAGUGGCAUGCACAUUACUGAGUUUUGUGCCAGAGCCCCCAUCCUCCACAGCUCACUUCUGGAGCUGCAGGGGCGGGGUGGGGAGCAGGGCCGCGUCCGGAGACAAUGCGGUUGCGGUCGGGGGGUCGGAGCGCCGCGUGCAUACCCUUGCAGGGAGAUGCGCCAGGUGUGGGCCUGGCGAGCUCGCCCCCGGGCUGGGCCUUCCGUUAUUCGGUGGGAGGCCUCCGUGUCUCGAUCUGACACCGAGCAGACAGGCCCCGAGGCGGGAGCCACUCGGCAGGGUCCCCUCUUCCUCCCUGGGGACCCGUGGACGUGUUUUUCAGUUCCUGUGCUAAGUAUCACCUUGAGUUUGCCGAGGGAGCGCGGCAAACAGCGCGCAGAGCUAAAGGGGACCUCCAGGUGUUCCUCAUCAAUUCUGGAGCUCUUGUGUCUCAGAUCAGAAGCAUGAAGGGCGCUCUGGGAAGGCCCACUUGGAAGAGCAGGAGAGGAGGCACUGUAGGGCGGAGGCCACCGGUUUGGGAAUCAGGGGUGUCACUCCAAACAGCGUCAAUGCAAACGGCAAAUUAUUCGCCUCAGAAGCGGAGUUCGAGGUGGGAACUUAAGGCAUCACCUGCCCUAGGGCUGCAAAUAGUGACAGCUGGCCUCUCGCGGCACCUCUGAGUCCUGCCUGUCUCUGUUUCGAUUCCCCCUCCUGGUGCCCCCAGGACUGCAGGGAGCGCCCGCUCCGCCUUCAACUCCACUUUGUUCCAAAAAAAUGUCACGGGACCGCGUCCAAGUCACGUGCCCAUCCACGAGCCAACAACGGUGGCCCGGGGCGGCGUGGCUUCCUCUGAUUGGCCAGACCUGGGCCACGCGGCCUCCCCUGGAGCCAGUAAGAGAGAGUGGCCGCAGCAAGCGGGCUGGGACCCUGAGAGCGGAAUUGGAGCUGGGCUGGUGGAACCCGGGGCGGUCCCUGAGCUUCUUUCUGUCCCCGUGCUGGUGGGGGUCCAUGGCGCAGAAGGUGCUGGCGGGGAGAAGCAUGUCACCCAGAGAUCUGCAGGCCCUGGCAGACGGCGGGCCACAGUGACGCUUGCUCCAGCUGCGUGCACCUCUGAAUCAAAGACCCAGCAGGUUCCUCGCGUGGGGGCAGAUGUCCUGUAUUGAUGUGCCACUUGCCACUUGGAGCCCCCAGCCUGGAAACGUGGAAGCCUGGCCACUCGCAGAUCGCCAAGCCCAGUCCUCCGAGUCAGAAAUGUUGAUUUGUUUCAGUAACGUGAGCAUGGGGGAGGGUGGGGCGGAAGAGAGGAAAGUGAGCAAGAGAGACAGUGAGUCAAAAACCAUGAAGCUGACUGAGACAGAGACUGGGAGAGACAGACACACUCAGCAGGAGAACCACCGAGAAAGAACAAACAACACAGAGAGGCUAAUAAUACUAAGGGAUGGAGCCCGAGAUGGAAGGACACAAAUUAAGAGCAGGGAAGAGACACAGAGAGAGAAAACCAGACCGAAGAGAGCCAGAUGGAUUGAGAUUAGCAAACAAUAAAAAUAAAAAUAAA